rnacentral:rRNA from 1 species
UACGGAGGGUGCGAGCGUUGUCCGGAAUCAUUGGGCGUAAAGGGCGCGUAGGUGGCCCGGUCAGUUCGUGGUGAAAGCGCGGGGCUCAACCCUGCGUCGGCCAUGAAUACUGCCGCGGCUGGAGCACUGUAGAGGCAGGCGGAAUUCCGGGUGUAGCGGUGGAAUGCGUAGAGAUCGGAAGAACACCGGUGGCGAAGGCGGCCUGCUGGGCAGUUGCUGGACACUGAGGCGCGACAGCGUGGGGAGCAAAGCGG